GGGCCCGAGCCGCCCCUGGAGACUGAGUCAGGGAUGAUUCCGUGUCCUCAUUGUGGCAGGGCUGUGCCAUAUCCCACAGGGGCUGACAGGGCAGGCCCAGGCUCCGCAUUGAUUGCUACAUGUGCACAGGGCUGAGAACCGGCUGCAAGGAGAUGGCGGCUUCGGGUCCACUGGGGCACCUCAGGUUCAUUGAACAGCUGUCCUGACGGCCAGAGAUCGUCCUGAGCAGGUCUGCACCCUGUCCAUCCCUGGUGAGACACCGUCAAAGGUUAGCCUCCGCGGACUUCUUCACACUGGUGCGGACAUCAUGAUUGUCAGGUUUGACAACUGGCCCCCGGAGUGGCCGUUGGAACUGAUGUGGACGUCUGUCGCAGGGUUGACAGGAGCAGUGCAAUGCUAUGUGAGCCGGAGGCCCGUGUUCAUCACAAACCCAGAGGGAGACACGGUCAUGGUUUGGCCGUACGUUACAAAGGACUCAUGGAUAACUCUGGGGCAGGGAUGUUCUAGCUGCAUGGGGAGUGCAUAUUGGGAUGGAUUUUUGAUGGGGGCUCCUGUGCUGGAAGGUGCAAACUGUCUGACGCCUCCUAUAUGGUGGCUGGUGGACAAACCCAUUUGGGAGAACCAGUUGCCCCUCCCUCAUGAUAAACUAGUCGCCCUCCGUGAUUUGGUGCAAGAACAGUUGGACCAGGGUCAUCUGGAGCCUUCAACCAGUCCCUGGAACACUCCUGUUUUCUGUAUCAAGCAGAAGUCUGGGAAAUGGAGGUUGCUGCAAGACUUCCAGAAAGUUAAUGCUGUGAUGGAAAGCAUGGGGACAUUGCAGGGUAUGCUACCAAACUUUGACGAGACCUGAAGACUUUGCAACAACACUAUGAAGGAACCCUCUUGAUGAUGAUCGUGAGUCAUGGGGUGGUCUGUAAGAGACGGUCUGAAGUUUCCCUUAUCUGCCUCACGACCAUUGCAAGAACAGAGACUAAGACUCUGAAGACCCCAGGGGACUUUGUGCAGGGGUUCUGGCCUGGUGGAGGUGGAUGCUUGCUAAGUGAUUGUUUGCAGGUGUGCUCGACCUACACCAGAAUAGUGAUUGUUUGCAGGUGUUUGCUGUACUGCCACAGUACACUGCCUUAAUUCCUGCUGGUGAGCAGGGACUUGUGAAGAGUGGCCUGCUCUGUACCUUGCACCUACUUCUCAGAGCAACGAGUUUCACCACAAUAGUCAAUAAAUCUCCCCACCUUUUGGCCAACUGCCCCUCGCUUUGAAACAGACUAUAAAAGUGACUUUUCUAAGUUACUUUCUGAGAGAGAUCUCCCCACAGAAGAAGACAUUGGUGACCCCCAUUGUCAUCCUGGAAAUUGAAGCCUUCUGAUAAUGUUUUCACAGUUUUAGUUACUUUCCCAUUAAAGUAACAUAAACAUAAGUUGUUUAUCACAUUCCUUCUAAGAAACAUCUUUUGAUGGACAUUUCUCAUGACCAGUGUGCUUGGGAGGGUGGUAACUUGAUUAUCCAAUCCCUGGUCAUUGUCUAGAAUCUAUAAAUACUGGAGUCAGAGAAUACAGGGACAAUUUUUUAUUCUGACAGUGAGAGGUGUUCAUGUGAAUCAUUUUGUGUCCUCUAGCGACAACCCGUCUCGUCCGUUGGUAGCUAUAACCCCCCUUUUUCCCUCUUUACUUUGCCUCUCUCUCUUUUUCUCUCUCUCUCUCUCUCUCUCUUUCUCUCCCUCUCAUCUAUCGCAUAACCCAUGAUGCGGGCACCACUGAUAGCAAAAGAUUUUAAAAUCAUAGAAAAUUUGGGGAAUUAGAAAGAAAGUUAGGCUUGGCAAGCCCUGGGAAAAGUGUUAAAAGUAGGCCCUGGGAGAUGUUAGGCAUUGUGCUUGCUAAGAGCAUGUGAAACUGCACCUGUGUAGUCAGUAUAUGAUAAAUUAUAUAAUUAUAUAAUUGUUAGAUGUGAUUAGAUAUAAUUAUUGUUUAAAUAAUCAUGAGAAACUAUGUUAGGAGUUUGGGGGGAUCACGAGAAAUCCAUGCUUGGGUAAAAUCAAUGCAUACAACAGAACAAUGUAAGUUUAAUAAUUAACAAGGAAGUUAUAUAACGAUAGAGUAUAAAAACAUGCUCAACUCAAAACCAAGUCGCGUCAGAUUUGGGUAUGCGUACCCCUGACACCCAGAGCUCUUCAAUAAAGCGCCUUCAUAUACUCAUUCCGUGAUUAUGUGUGUUCCUGAACUCUAACAUUUUGGCGACCCUAGAUGGGACCUUGUGAGUGCUGCUGAGCGAGCUCGCAACCCGAUCACGCUCCAGCUGGCACCGUGGGAUUCUCGGAGAGCCCAUCGGCUGCGACCAUCUCUGCUGCUCACAACGUCCCCGGGAGAAGAGGUAAGGUGCUUUUACUUUGAUUUGGGCAACUCGAAUUUCCCGCAAACUGCGCACACAGAGGUGGAAAGCACCCUACACUUGCUUGAGGGCUCUCUUAGUGCAAAAGGGCGGGACUGUUUUUCUUGUUGUGUGCAUGAAUUUUGACUGCUUGGUGUAGCGAAGAGACAACGAGAAUUUUAAACUGAAGGAGUGCCUCCCAAGCAGAUUUGGUCUUUUCACCCAUACAGGGAAGUGAAAAGCUGUGUUUGUGUGCAUAAUUUAAGUUUAUACCUCCCUGUAGUGGUUUUUCCCUUUGUAAAAAUGACUGAAAACUGCAGUGCGCAAGUUAAAACUGCAUUUUAUGCAUGUUAUGCUCUGUUCGCAAAACACAAUGCCAGACCUUCUCCGGGAAGGAAAAGUUGGUGCUCAAUAAUUGGUUUAAUUUGGAAAAUGUGAUUGAUAGAGUAUGUUCAUUACAAUAUGAAACAAAAUUUAAACUGGGCAAAAAUAAAACUGUACUCUGCUCAGUUUUGGGAGCUUGUCUUACAGCAGCUAUAGAAACUCGCUGUAAGUGAAGAAGUGAGGAAAGAACUAUAAUAGACUCCCUCCAAAACCUAGUUAAAAUUUUGCAAAAACAAUUGGAUGAAGAAAGGAAUAAGAUCAAUCUGUUGCGAGCAGCCCUCUAUGAUAAAAAUUCAAAAAUGCUGACUUGCUAAAAGAAACAAGAGAGGGAAACCCCUCUCAUUAAUCAAAUUUAACCUCAAAAAGAGCUAACUUGGAUAAAAUUGUGGGAAACACUGCCGUCCUAGUUUG